AUGGCGCACCACGCGUCGGCGGCGACGGCGCAGAAGCGGAAGUGCCCCGACGGGGAGACGGCCGGCAUGUGCGCCGGCGGCUGCGGGUUCUUCGGCGCCGCCGCCACCGGCAACAUGUGCUCCAAGUGCUACAAGGAUCGCGUUCUCGCCGCCUCAACCGCCCCUCCGGAGAAGAAGGCCAAGAUGACCGUCUCCGUCGCGUCCCCUGAUGCUGCAGUCGAAGCCGAACCCUCCGUGGCGUCCGCGAAGCAGCCGGCGGUGAGGGCGAGCCGGUGCGCGGCGUGCCGCAAGAAGGUGGGGCUGCUGGGAUUCCUGUGCCGCUGCGAAGGCACCUUCUGCAGCGUGCACCGCUACUCGGACAAGCACGACUGUGGAUUCGACUACAAGACCGCCGGCCAGGAGCGAAUCGCCAAGCUCAACCCGGUCGUGGUCGCGGACAAGAUCACCAGGAUCUGA
rnacentral:rRNA from 1 species